rnacentral:rRNA from 1 species
CCUACGGGAGGCAGCAGUGAGGAAUAUUUGUCAAUGGGCGCGAGCCUGAACCAGCCAAGUAGCGUGAAGGAUGACUGCCCUACGGGUUGUAAACUUCUUUUAUAAAGGAAUAAAGUGAGGCACGUGUGCCUUUUUGUAUGUACUUUAUCAAUAAGGAUCGGCUAACUCCGUGCCAGCAGCCGCGGUAAUACGGAGGAUCCGAGCGUUAUCCGGAUUUAUUGUGUUUAAAGGGAGCGUAGAUGGGUUGUUAAGUCAGUUGUGAAAGUUUGGGGCUCAACCGUAAGAUUGCAAUUGAUACUGGCAGGCUUGAGAACAGUUGAGGUAAGCGGAAUUUGUGGUGUAGCGGUGAAAUGCGUAGAUAUCACGAGGAACUCCGAUUGCGAAGGCAGCCUACUAAACUGCCACUGACAUUGAGGCUCGAAAGUGUGGGUAUCAAACAGGAUUAGAUACCCGGGUAGUC